rnacentral:lncRNA from 1 species
GUUGAGGACACUGUCUGGGGGACUUUUGGGAUAGCAUUUGAAAUGUAAAUGAAGAAAAUACCUAAUUUUUUAAAAAAAAAGAAAGAAAGAAAUCUUGGAAGUUAUCCAUGCCCUUUCAACAAUGAGGCAGGUUUAAGCUGGUCAAAACUGAUUCUGGUCCCCACGAGCAUCCUGGGUUUUUCUUCCACUUCUAUGCUUUUCCUGUUUACAUGUUGUGGCUCCAUCUUGGGCCAGAGCUCUAGCUUACAGGUACAGGUGACCCAGGAUGAUCUAUAUCUCCAGCCAUUGACUUCACUCUCUCUCUCUCCUACAGCCCGCCAAGCUUGCUGAGGCCUUCAAGUACUUUGUGCAGGGCAUGGGAUACAGUGAGUAUAACAUCUUGGGCACAGAAAGGUGUUGGGGUGGUAAUGUCAUAGUCAGUGGGGGCUGGAGAGGGCUCUGUCAUCUUGGCUGGCUUCAGCUCUUAAGCACUAGGCAAGUCUAAGAAGGAGUAGUAACAAUCACACAUGGCUGAAUGAGGAAUGGAUCAGCACCCAGUUUGGUUUUUGUGCUGCAUAUGUCACACAGCAAACUAAGAUGGUGCUAGCCUAUCUGUGCAGCGUGUUCUCAGAGGACCUCAUCGUGUGUUCAGUCUGAUUUUAUAUCUAUAUAGAUAUAAAUAUACACAUAUCUAUAUCUAUAUAGAUAUAGAUAGAAGAAGUUGCUUCACAUCUGACAUUUAUUUAGCUUUACAUGAGAACAUUUAAAAACCAUUUGAUGCAAGAAUGAGACAAUAUUGUUGUUGGCAAGGCUGGUCUUUGAACUCCUAAUAGUCCUCUUGCCUCAGUCGCCCAAGUGCUAGGAUUACAGACAAGAAGCACUAUUCUAGGCUAGGACUAUCUCUUUAAACACCACCAUUGCCAACAAUAACAACAAAAAACCACAAACCCAACAACAACCAAAACAAUGACCAGCAGCUGAAUAAGGAAUGCCCCUAAUUUUGAUCACAUGCUCACUCAGGAGACCAGCAGUUGUAGCAACGAUAGAGAUGAUAACGGUGAUGAAGGAUUAAUAAGGAUUUUUGUCUCCUUUAACCAUACCAUCAUAAUAAUCCUAGAAGGGAGAGGCUAAGCAGGCCGCAAAGAGGUUUGAAGCUGAUUGAGCCAGAGCUCUAUGUAAGAGGGAGCCCAGAGUGCCUGAGAUCGAAGGUAGGGUGCUUCCUUGAUAGAUCACUUUUUAAAAAAGAUCUAUUUAUUUAUUAUAUGUAAGUACACUGUAGCUGUCUCCAGACACUCCAGAAGAAGGAGUCAGAUCUCACUACGGAUGGUUGUGAGCCACCACGUGGUUGCUGGAAUUUGAACUCAGGUGCUUCAAGAAGAGCAGUCAGUGCUCUUUACCACUGAACCAUCUCCCCAGCCAUCUUUGCUAGAUCAUUAUAUCAAGGAACUGAAGGACUGAGCACCCCGCUGUAUCCUGCUUUAAGCUUAGAGUGAGCUUGUCAUUCAGGCAGUCCCAUAGAUCUAGGAGAAAAAUAAAAGGGAGAGACACAGACCCAAAGGGUGGGUUGCUGAAACAGAAGGUUCCAGCUCACAGGCUGCCUGCCUGUGAUCCUGGGCUCCUAAGACUCGUCCAUUGUGUGUCUGGUGUCAUGGGAAGCUGUCAUUUCCUGGUGAGGUCAUCAGGACUCAGAGAUUUGGGUGGAGAAAUCGAGACGCAGGAACAAACAUAGGGGUCACAGAUGUGCCCUGACCCUACCUCUUUCUGAAUUAAAAACAGGCUGUUCUGAGAUGGUAUACUUCUGUUGUCUCAGCAUUUGGAAUGAAGAAGUGGAAGGAUAGUGAAUUCAAGGUCUUCCCAGCUACACAGAGAGUUUAAGGCCAGCCUGGGAUAAAUGGAGCUUUGCUCAAAACCAAAAACUAAUGGAUAAAAACAACAACCAGGAAGAAAAGGAAAGAAAGGAAAAGGAAGGAAAGGAAAGGAAAGG